UCUGGGAGCGUGAGUACUGCCAGCCGGCCGGACACGGUGCGACCUGCUCACACAGCUGGUCCCGCUGCCAGAAGCGGUACCUGUACAGUCUCCGACAUAUGUACGGUCUGGAAGGGCGUCGUGUCGCGUUCGAGAGCCACUCCUGUCGCAGACUACAGGAGCGCUGCGGACAGAGCGUCUCCAGCUGCGGCGGCUGUCCGUUCGUCGGAUUCGACGCGGCGUCGCUGACGUCUCUGUUGACCUCAGAGGCUGGCCUGGAGCCUGCUGAGGUAGCGGCGCUGACGACAGAGACCGGUGAGGAGCCGACUGUGCGCUGUCGAAGGUAUCGGUCACUGCUGAUGCGUCGAAUGUGUGGGCGGGGUGGCGCUCAGGGCGAGCGAAUGCCUCGGGAUGAUAGUGUGAGACGAGAUGAAGCAAGUGCCUUCCCUCAGACAGACAAUGUGAGACAAGAUGAGGCAAGUGAGCUUCCUCAGGUAGACGGUGUGAGACCAUAUGAGGCAAGUGGGCUGCCUCUGGUAGACAGUGUGAAACGCGCUGAAGCCAGCGGUGCGGAGGUCGGUAACUUGAUCGCGAACAGUGACCGGGGCGACAUCUGCGCAAAGACCGGGCUGCGGGAACGGAUCGUAGAUGGAGCGGGCUGUGAUUCGGUAUCCGGCAGCUCGCGACCGCCGGGUACUGCUACACUGGGGAACGAGGAGCCGACGCCUUUCAGAAAACCCAGCGAGUUUUUCCGUAGUCUGCUGAACCUCCGUGCAGAUCAGGGCAUCGGUGCUUCUAUCGCAAAUCCCAAAGUUGAAAAUAGUUAUAAAAAAUGACACCUUAGUGGGCUGAAGCGGCUAACCAAAUGUUCAAUUCCAGGCACCAAUGAAUACUCAAGAGUGUGGUACCGAACUGUGAUAGCGAUAUCAGGGCAUGGGCUGAUGCAUAGAUAACAUGAAUCUUUCAUGUUACCUAUUCUAUGGCUGAUGGUUUCGACAUAAAUGUGUGAAUGUGUUUUCGUUUGACUGGCAUUAAAUGCAUCAAUCUUCCCACACACCUGUGACUAUUAUUCCAUGCUAGAUGACGGGGGAUAGUAGAUAUCACUUGCCUCGCAUCAGUGUAUAUGUUACAGCCCGAGUUUGAGAAAUCAGUGAGUGUGCAAACUCCCUAGGAAGUUUGCAAACUCCCUGACCCAUCAGUGAGUCCGGUCAGGGAGUUUGAGAAAUUCCAGAGCGAUUGGGACAAAUAAAAACAAGUACAUAUGUAGCAUAUGGGUAGCAUACGUGCCGUCCGUGAUGUUAGAACAAAGGCGGCUAGUUGUAGGGCCUAUUGAACCGUCGCCCGCUGACAAAAAGCUUACAGACCAUAUGCACACCAUAAAUACCUACUUUGAUUUUAAACUGUUCAGUGAUCCAGCCCAAACAUGUGCCGCCGCUUCAUUCAUCCAUGCAUUUAUUUAGUUCACGUCCCAAUUAAAAUCCGUUCUACACAAGUGCUCCACACUUGUGCCUAUACUUUAGCAUAAAUGACCAACUGAGCUGUUUCUACUUUGAUAUAUUGAGCAGUGACUUUGAAUAGCUACACUUGUGUGGAACGGAUAUAAUUGGGCCGUGAGCUAAAUAAAUGUAUGGCUAAAUGAAGCGGCGGUACAUGCAUGGGCCGAGUCACUAAACAGUUUAAAAUCAAAAGUAUGGUGUGUAUAUGAUCUGUGGGCUAUUUGUCAGCGUGCGUAGGUUAUAUAGGCCCUACAACUUAUAGCCGCCUUUGUUUUAUUUCUCAAACUCCCUGAACGGUUAGUGAGUUUGCGAACUCCCUAGUGAGUUUGCGAACUCCCUAGUGAGUUUGCAAACUCACUGACGGGUCAGGGAAUUUUCAAACCACCUAGGGAGUUUGCAAAGUCACGGAUUUCUCAAACUCCCUGUAAUACAUAUAAAGGGGAGUGACGGGUGUACACAUGCAUCAUUCAUAUCCAAAUAUGUGGCUGUUAAAUACCCCAUCUUUUUUCCCAUUUCUGGUAAUUAUGAAUAUAGGAUUAAUGUGAAUGUCGAUGGAUUACAUAAGUGAGUGCCGUCACGAUCAAGGAGAUCUCAUGUAACCGUGCGGCGUGCAUACUUUCUCAAGCCAAACCAGUGGGCAGUGACAUUCAUUUGUUGGCUUUGAAAGCUGUAUUCGUCAAUCGUCUUACCUUGUACGUAUUUUUGACUUGCAACGUCUGUCUAUCUACUUUUGGCCGUUCUUUUUAUCUUUUAUCGAAAUAUCGCAUGAAUAAAAAUCAUAAGCGUC